CCUACGGGUGGCAGCAGUGGGGAAUAUUGGGCAAUGGAGGAAACUCUGACCCAGCAACGCCGCGGGAAUGAUGAAGGUCGUCGGAUGGGAAAGUUCUUGUCGAAGGGAAGAAGAAAGUGACGGUAACUUAGGAAUAAGCCUCGGCUAACUACGGGCCAGCAGCCGCGGUAAUACGGAGGAUCCGAGCGUUAUCCGGAUUUAUUGGGUUUAAAGGGAGCGUAGGGGGCUUGUGAAGUCAGUUGUGAAAGUUUGCGGCUCAACCGGAAAAUUGCAGUGGAAACGGGCAGUCUUGAGUACAGUCGAGGUGGGCGGCAUUCGUGGUGUAGCGGUGCACUGCUUCGAUAUCACGCAGAACUCCGAUUGCGCAGGCAGUUCACUGGACUGCAACUGCCACUGCGGCUCG
rnacentral:rRNA from 1 species